CGCGUAGGCGGCUUCUUAAGUCAGAUGUGAAAGCCCGGGGCUUAACCCCGGAAGUGCAUUUGAAACUAAGGAGCUUGAGUAUGGGAGAGGGAAGUGGAAUUCCUGGUGUAGAGGUGAAAUUCGUAGAUAUCAGGAGGAACACCGGUGGCGAAGGCGACUUCCUGGACCAAUACUGACGCUGAGGCGCGAAGGCGUGGGGAGCAAACAGGAUUAGAUACCCUGGUAGUCC
rnacentral:rRNA from 1 species